AUUGAACGCUGGCGGCAGGCCUAACACAUGCAAGUCGAGCGAGCGGCGGACGGGUGAGUAAUGUAUGGGGACUGCCCGAUAGAGGGGGAUAACUACUGGAAACGGUGGCUAAUACCGCAUACCAUCGGAUAACCCACAGGGGAUUAGCUAGUAGGUGGGGUAAAGGCUCACCUAGGCGACGAUCUCUAGCUGGUCUGAGAGGAGGACCAGCCACACGGGGACUGAGACACGGGCCAGACUCCGACGGAGGCAGCAGUGGGGAAUAUUGCACAAUGGGCGCAAGCCUGAUGCAGCCAUGCCGCGGGUAUGAAGAAGGCCUUAGGAUUGUAAAGUACUUUCAGCGGGGAGGCGUUACCCGCAGAAGAAGCACCGGCUAACUCCGUGCCAGCAGCCGCGGUAAUUC
rnacentral:rRNA from 1 species